CCUACGGGAGGCAGCAGUGAGGAAUAUUGGUCAAUGGACGAGAGUCUGAACCAGCCAAGUAGCGUGAAGGAUGACUGCCCUAUGGGUUGUAAACUUCUUUUAUAUGGGAAUAAAAUGUUCCACGUGUGGGAUUUUGUAUGUACCAUAUGAAUAAGGAUCGGCUAACUCCGUGCCAGCAGCCGCGGUAAUACGGAGGAUCCGAGCGUUAACCGGAUUUAUUGGGUUUAAAGGGAGCGUAGGUGGAUUGUUAAGUCAGUUGUGAAAGUUUGCGGCUCAACCGUAAAAUUGCAGUUGAAACUGGCAGUCUUGAGUACAGUAGAGGUGGGCGGAAUUCGUGGUGUAGCGGUGAAAUGCUUAGAUAUCACGAAGAACUCCGAUUGCGAAGGCAGUUCACUGGACUGCAACUGACACUGAGGCUCGAAAGUGUGGGUAUCAAACAGGAUUAGAUACCCGUGUAGUC
rnacentral:rRNA from 1 species